GUGGGGAAUAUUGGACAAUGGGCGAAAGCCUGAUCCAGCCAUGCCGCGUGUGUGAAGAAGGCCUUCGGGUUGUAAAGCACUUUCAGCGAGGAGGAAGGAGUUGUAGUUAAUAGCUGCAACUUUUGACGUUACUCGCAGAAGAAGCACCGGCUAACUCUGUGCCAGCAGCCGCGGUAAUACAGAGGGUGCAAGCGUUAAUCGGAAUUACUGGGCGUAAAGCGCACGCAGGCGGUUGGUUAAGUCAGAUGUGAAAGCCCCGGGCUCAACCUGGGAAUUGCAUUUGAAACUGGCCAACUAGAGUAUGUGAGAGGGGGGUAGAAUUCCAAGUGUAGCGGUGAAAUGCGUAGAGAUUUGGAGGAAUACCAGUGGCGAAGGCGGCCCCCUGGCACAAUACUGACGCUCAGGUGCGAAAGCGUGGGGAGCAAACAGGAUUAGAUACCCGAGUAGUCC
rnacentral:rRNA from 1 species